UUCCGCUGACGACCGGCGCACGGGUGCGUAACGCGUAUACAAUCUACCUUUUGCUGUGGGAUAGCCUUUGGAAACGAAGAUUAAUACCGCAUAGUAUGCAGACUUCUCAUGAAGAUUGCAUUAAAGGUUACGGCAGAAGAUGAGUAUGCGUCCUAUUAGCUAGUUGGUGUGGUAACGGCACACCAAGGCCACGAUAGGUAGGGGCCCUGAGAGGGGGAUCCCCCACACUGGUACUGAGACACGGACCAGACUCCUACGGGAGGCAGCAGUGAGGAAUAUUGGACAAUGGAGGCAACUCUGAUCCAGCCAUGCCGCGUGCAGGAAGACUGCCCUAUGGGUUGUAAACUGCUUUUAUACGGGAAGAAACACUGCUACGUGUAGCAGCUUGACGGUACCGUAAGAAUAAGGAUCGGCUAACUCCGUGCCAGCAGCCGCGGUAAUACGGAGGAUCCAAGCGUUAUCCGGAAUCAUUGGGUUUAAAGGGUCCGUAGGUGGAUGAUUAAGUCAGAGGUGAAAGUCUGCAGCUCAACUGUAGAAUUGCCUUUGAUACUGGUUAUCUUGAAUUAUUAUGAAGUAGUUAGAAUAUGUAGUGUAGCGGUGAAAUGCAUAGAUAUUACAUAGAAUACCAAUUGCGA
rnacentral:rRNA from 1 species